GUCGAAUGGGAAAUAAGAUACCAGCUCCGAGAUUGUUGAAGCUGACUCCUCUGGAUUCACACUUGGCUGGUGCGAACAAUAAAUUUCAUGGUGGUCAUUUCUCCUGGGUCACUGAGAAUGGUAAACAAGAACGACACCUAGUUGCCACAGUGGGCAAGUUCAGUGUGAUAUGGGACUUCCAACAGGUGAAGAACAGCGCCCAUGAAUGCUACCGUAAUCAGCAAGGUCUCAAGAGCUGUUAUUGUUAUAAGAUAGUGUUGAAGGAUGAGUCCAUUGUUGAAAGUCGUUUCAUGCAUGACAAUUAUGCUGUUAGUGACUCCCCAGAAGCUCCAUUGGUGGUGGCAACCCCCAUGAAAGUCAGC
rnacentral:misc_RNA from 1 species